AGCCUACAAAAAACCAAGGUGGGAGCAUUUUGUCACAGAGCUCAACGUAUGCAAACACUGAUAAACUAAAUCCUCUUGUUGGUUCAUUUCGUGGAAUUCAGCCUUUUCUCCUAUCGUUCCAGUCCGCCCAACACAACAUGUUUCCCAUGAAGGAAAUUUAAGAAAAGUUAAAUUUUACAAGGUAAUGGUGUAUGAAUUUGGCAUUUCCUUACAGUCUUAAGCCACAGUAAAAAUGUUAGACAAGAUUAACCUAUUUUAUCCUUAGAUUUGUUAGAAGUUUCAGUGUUUCCAAGAUGUCUCUGGCUUGCUGGUACAUUCAGACAUACUUAUGGAGUAUUGGAAUAUGAUGGUCAAGUUAGUAGUCAAUUAUUUUGACUAGCAACUAAAUUUGUGCAUCAAUGGUGCAAUACUAAGAAUAAGCAUUCUGCAAGUUAUAUGCCAUUUCUACCACACAGACAGUAUGCUAAAAGGGCACAAAGCCUACUAAAGAUGAAGUGAUGUUGUAUGUAACUUGUUCAAUGUUCUCUUAACAUGUUUUGUAAUAAAAAAAGUUCUAAUAUCACAGCAGUGCGUGAGAUCUAUUCUUCGGUUUUGUUUUCUUUGUGUCUCCUCAAGCUGGUCAGAAUAUGCCAGCAGGGUUGGGAAGAGUCUGUGUGUGCAGCCUGAUACAACAGCGAUAUCCAAGAGCAAAUACUUGCUCGUUACCUUUGAAACUAAGGUCACUGGGUUUUUUUUCCUGCAGGGGGGGAGUUACAGAAGGCCAUUCCUGCUAACUGUAGGACAGUUUCAAAGAAAUACAGAGUAUAACUUCCAGCAAGGACAGGUGGUAGUAUCAUGUACAUGCUAACCUACAAACUCACCUUCUUGGAGUGCUUAUUGUACAGUAGUGACACAAACUAGUACCAAGUAUUAAAAGGGACAUGGGAACUCCCACUGAGAUCUUUUCUUUGUGUAACAGAUGCUUGAUUUGUGUUCUGGCCUGCUUAAGGCACAGACAGCCAUGGGGAAUACCUUUUGGCUAAUUACACAGCUACAAGCCUUGAGUUAUGAACUUGGGCUGGAAGCACUUUUAGACUAUUCAACGUUAACAGACAUCUGCUAAAGACCUACUAGAGCAGUUUAAAGAAGGAAUUUAAGACAUAGUUUCCUUCUUUAGAUUUCCAUAAAGGCUGUUAGAGGUUUUAAGGGGCUUAAGCUUUAGUUUAAUUGCAAAUGGAAAGCCUGAGCAUUAAUAGACAAGAUAACUGGGACAGCAAAGCAUCACAAUGUUAACAGAAUCCAGGGGGCUGAUUCUACAUACUCCACUUAAUACCAAGAACUGUUCUCUUGCAGGUUUUUUAGCUGGCCAACUACUAUGGUAUAAAGUGCUUUGUGCCGGAAACUAAAAUGUCUGCUUUUGCUCGACCCUGGGCUCAAGAAGAGAUGCUCAGACCAAAUGGACUCCUGGCAAUUUUGCAGAGGUUUACUGAUUCAGAAACAACAGUCUAUGGUGAAAGCGGGAGGCCCGGCAGCCUUUGGCGAGUGUGAGGCCUGGCAAAGAGCCCAGGGCACCUGGCGGCAGCUCGGCCACGAGCAGGAAAGCGCUCGGUGCGUUAGGAAGUCGCGUUUGGGCUGACCUAUGAACCGCGGUAACGUUUUCCUAUUCAAAAUGCGUCCCUCAGAACAUCAGGAUGGAAAGUGUUAUCAGAGAGGCCAGGAAAUGCCGUCUGAUGGAUUUUAGUUUCACUGGACAAUUUUGGGGUGCAGAUACCGAACAACCCCUAGACUCUGCUGCCCAUAAAAGCACCCCUGCCAGGGAAGAGAGCUCCAGUCCUUCUGCACUGGUGAACUGGAUUCCCCAAGCCUCAGAAGGGCCGAGGAAGCCCAGCUCAAUCUUGCCCCUUAAAAGCAACACGCAACACAGGAGUUUCAGUGAACUACAAUACACCACAGUGUUUAUUAACUCGGGAUUAGUGUGAUAAGC